rfam:Pan troglodytes isolate Yerkes chimp pedigree #C0471 (Clint) chromosome X, whole genome shotgun sequence.
GCUGGGCAUGGUGGCUCAUGCCUGUAAUCCCAACACUUUGGGAAGCGGAGGUGGGCGGAUCACCUGAGGUCAGGAGUUCAAGACCAGCCUGGCCAACAUGGUGAAACCCCGUCUCUA